AGUUAGCCCAGGGAGGAAGGGGACAGAAUGACAGCAUGGUUAUAUCAAUGGUCCAAUUCUUGGUUCCAACCCUUGAUUGUCCUUCGAGAGCACCACCCAUUCCUUACAACACAUCUCUCCGCUUCAUUUUGGGAGUUUUGAAGUUAUUAAAGUUAUUGAUUUCUUUUCCUUACAACCAAAAUAAUCUAAAUUAAGAUUGUGGCCAAGUUUGGAUUAAAACCUGCCUCCCGGCUCCAAGACCCAUGUUUUUCUAUCAUGCUGACUGGCAGCAAAGACGUCUUCCCAUGGAUUUUUCAGAACUCUGUUCUUUAAAUGUGACCUUAGAUGCACCAGACUCAUGCCAUCCAAAGGUUGGAGCUUCAUAUUUUUCAGAAAAAUCAG
rnacentral:lncRNA from 1 species